AGAAUGAACGCUGGCGGCAGGCCUAACACAUGCAAGUCGAGCGAGGUAGCAAUACCUAGCGGCGGACGGGUGAGUAACGCGUGGGAACGUACCUUUUGCUUCGGAAUAGCCUCGGGAAACUGGGAGUAAUACCGAAUGUGCCCUACGGGGGAAAGAUUUAUCGGCAAAAGAUCGGCCCGCGUUGGAUUAGGUAGUUGGUGGGGUAAUGGCCUACCAAGCCGACGAUCCAUAGCUGGUUUGAGAGGAUGAUCAGCCACACUGGGACUGAGACACGGCCCAGACUCCUACGGGAGGCAGCAGUGGGGAAUCUUAGACAAUGGGCGCAAGCCUGAUCUAGCCAUGCCGCGUGAGUGAUGAAGGCCUUAGGGUUGUAAAGCUCUUUCGUGGGGGAAGAUAAUGACGGUACCCCAAGAAGAAGCCCGGCUAACUCCGUGCCAGCAGCCGC
rnacentral:rRNA from 1 species